GACGAACGCUGGCGGCGUGCUUAACACAUGCAAGUCGUACGGUAAGGCCCUUUCGGGGGUACACGAGUGGCGCACGGGUGAGUAACACGUGAGUAACCUGCCCACAACUUUGGGAUAACGCUAAGAAACUGGUUCUAAUACUGGAUAUGUGCUCCUGCCGCGUGGGGGGGGUUGGAAAGCUCCGGCUGUUGUGUAUGGACUCGCGGCCUAUGAGCUUGUUGGUGGUGUAGUGGCCUACCAAGGCGGCGACGGGUAGCCGGACUGAGAGGGUGACCGGCCACAUUGGGACUGGGAUACGGCCCCGACUCCUACGGGAGGCAGCAGUGGGGAAUAUUGCAAAAUGGGCGGAAGCCUGAUGCAGCAACGCCGCGGGCGGGAUGACGGGCUUCGGGUUGGAAACCGCUUUCAGCAGGGACGAAGCUUUUUGUGACGGUACCUGCAGAAGAAGCACCGGCUAACUACGUG
rnacentral:rRNA from 1 species